UACGUAGGGACCAAGCGUUGUUCGGAUUUACUGGGCGUAAAGGGCGCGUAGGCGGCGUGGUAAGUCACUUGUGAAAUCUCUGAGCUUAACUCAGAACGGCCAAGUGAUACUGCUGUGCUAGAGUGCAGAAGGGGCAAUCGGAAUUCUUGGUGUAGCGGUGAAAUGCGUAGAUAUCAAGAGGAACACCUGAGGUGAAGACGGGUUGCUGGGCUGACACGUGACGCUGAUGCGCGAAAGCUAGGGGAGCAAACGGG
rnacentral:rRNA from 1 species